AAAGAAAUUAAUGGGAUCGGAGCAUUGCUUGAUAUAAAUAUUCACAUGACCAGCUAGCUAGCUAGUUCAAGAGUGGGGCAAAAAGACAGCUGUAUUGAUGAUAAGAGGGAAACUGAAUGAUUUCUAUAGAGUGAUGAUGAUGAUGAUAAUUAAUCAUGAAAUUGCAUGCCCGCAAUGGUGCUGUAAGUGACAGUGAAAAUGGACCCUCUUUGCUUUCUAGUUGGAUUCAGGAUUUGGACCGCUUGGUACUUCAUGUGCAGCUGCUUUAAACUGUUCACCUGAAGCAGAACCCCAAAUUGUAGUUGUAGUAGCAGUAGUAAUAGUAGAAGUGGUAGCAGCAGUAGCAGCCGCAGCAGAAGAAGAAGGAGGAGGUAGUGUAUGCUUUGUUUGCUGUGGAUGCAAUUCUGUGGUGGUAGCGGAUGAGGAAGCCAUGAAUUUCUUGGAGGAGUGAUCAAUAGGGCGACCAAGAAGAGGAGCAACCAAGAGAAGGCCAAGAAACAGCAACAUAGCUUGUGAUUCAGAAACUAGUGCUGAUUUGUAAGCUUGUGCCAUGAAACUAGAACCAGUAGUAAUGACCACCCCCCAGUAAUCCACAAGGGAUCAAUAUCCAUGAACCAAUCGAAACACCGAUGUGUCUAGCAAAAAGAAGAAGCGGAAAAGAAAGGUAAAGAAAAUAAAGUUGUAGAUGGCUAUCUGCAGAGGGAAAAGAAGUUGUAAAAUUCAAG
rnacentral:misc_RNA from 1 species